rnacentral:tRNA from 1 species
CAAAAUAGAGCUUGAUGAGUUAAGCGUUUCGUUUACACCGAAAGGAAGUCGUGCAAUUCGAUGUAUUUUGA